CUCUUGGGUGACGAGUGGCGGACGGGUGAGUAAUGUCUGGGAAACUGCCUGAAUGGAGGGGGAUAACUACUGGAACGGUAGCUAAUACCGCAUAACGUCGCAAGACCAAAGAGGGGGACCUUCGGGCCUCUUGCCAUCAGAUGUGCCCAGAUGGGAUUAGCUAGUAGGUGGGGUAACGGCUCACCUAGGCGACGAUCCCUAGCUGGUCUGAGAGGAUGACCAGCCACACUGGAACUGAGACACGGUCCAGACUCCUACGGGAGGCAGCAGUGGGGAAUAUUGCACAAUGGGCGCAAGCCUGAUGCAGCCAUGCCGCGUGUAUGAAGAAGGCCUUCGGUUGUAAAGUACUUUCAGCGAGGAGGAAGGCGAUGCGGUUAAUAACCGUGUCGAUUGACGUUACUCGCAGAAGAAGCACCGGCUAACUCCGUG
rnacentral:rRNA from 1 species